ACCCCGGUAUUAUUGCUGUUAUGGGUUUGAAUCGAGCUUAGCCUUGUUCAUUUUUUUACACAACACCCCCGUAAAAAAUACAACACGGCCCGCUCAAGCCUGCGGGCGGCAAGGAUUUAAAAUCCCUAAAGCUGCCCUAUAAAGCACCAAAAAUGGCCUUGUGGCGCUUUUUUAGGGCAA
rnacentral:sRNA from 1 species